rnacentral:piRNA from 1 species
UGGGAUUAAAGGCAUGGAACAACACACUC